rnacentral:misc_RNA from 1 species
AUCCUCUUUGACAAAAAUAACCCCAUCAUCACCGAUGUGCCGCCCCCACCAGUUGCGCCGCCUGUAGAACCACCGUAAUUAUGGCGGCGGAGAUCGCGAUCGUCAUCGGAGUAUUGCUGUUCAUCAAGCUUGUUAGGAGUAGGAGGAUGAUAAUACAUCCGCGAUGUUUGAGGACAAUGAGAAUUAAACCUAGCGGCAAUUCUAAUUCCAGCAUCCAAUAGCUCUACGUAUUUACCCAUCUCGUAUUGAUUUGAG